UACAGAGGUCUCAAGCGUUGUUCGGAUUCAUUGGGCGUAAAGGGUGCGUAGGUGGCGAGGUUAGUCAGGUGUGAAAUCUCGGGGCUCAACCCCGAAACUGCACUUGAUACUGCCUUGCUAGAGUACUGAAGAGGAGAUUGGAAUUUACGGUGUAGCAGUGAAAUGCGUAGAUAUCGUAAGGAAGACCAGUGGCGAAGGCGAAUCUCUGGACAGUUACUGACACUGAGGCACGAAGGCCAGGGGGAGCAAA
rnacentral:rRNA from 1 species